rnacentral:tRNA from 5 species
GUUCUUGUAGUUGAAGUACAACGAUGGUUCUUCAAAUCAUUGGUCUUGAUUAGAGUUCGAGCAGGAAUU